UAAGUCAGAAGUGAAAUCCAAUAGCUCAACUAUUGAACUGCUUUUGAAACUGAUUACCUAGAAUAUGGGAGAGGUAGAUGGAAUUUCUGGUGUAGGGGUAAAAUCCGUAGAGAUCAGAAGGAAUACCGAUUGCGAAGGCGAUCUACUGGAACAUUAUUGACGCUGAGACGCGAAAGCGUGGGGAGCAAACAGGAUUAGAUACCCUGGUAGUCCACGCCCUAAACGAUGUACACUAGUUGUUGUGAGGCUCGACCUUGCAGUAAUGCAGUUAACACAUUAAGUGUACCGCCUGGGGAGUACGGUCGCAAGAUUAAAACUCAAAGGAAUAGACGGGGACCCGCACAAGCGGUGGAGCAUGUGGUUUAAUUCGACGAUACACGAAGAACCUUACCUGGACUUGACAUAGUAAGAACUUUCUAGAGAUAGAUUGGUGUCUGCUUGCAGAAACUUAUAUACAGGUGCUGCACGGCUGUCGUCAGCUCGUGUCGUGAGAUGUUGGGUUAAGUCCCGCAACGAGCGCAACCCUCGUCAUUAGUUGCUAACAGUUCGGCUGAGAACUCUAAUGAGACUGCCUACGCAAGUAGGAGGAAGGUGAGGACGACGUCAAGUCAUCAUGGCCCUUACGUCCAGGGCUACACACGUGCUACAAUGGGGCAUACAAAGAGCCGCAAUACGGUGACGUGGAGCAAAUCUCAAAAAUAUCUCCCAGUUCGGAUUGUAGUCUGCAACUCGACUACAUGAAGUUGGAAUCGCUAGU
rnacentral:rRNA from 1 species